rnacentral:rRNA from 1 species
AUUGAACGCUGGCGGCAGGCCUAACACAUGCAAGUCGAACGAGUGGCGAACGGGUGAGUAAUGUAUGGGGAUCUGCCUGAUGGCGGGGGAUAACUACUGGAAACGGUAGCUAAUACCGCAUACCAUCAGAUGAACCCAUAUGGGAUUAGCUAGUAGGUGAGGUAACGGCUUACCUAGGCGACGAUCCCUAGCUGGUCUGAGAGGAUGACCAGCCACACUGGAACUGAGACACGGUCCAGACUCCUACGGGAGGCAGCAGUGGGGAAUAUUGCACAAUGGGCGCAAGCCUGAUGCAGCCAUGCCGCGUGUGUGAAGAAGGCCUUCGGGUUGUGAAGCACUUUCAGCGAGGAGGCGUUACUCGCAGAAGAAGCACCGGCUAACUCCGUGCCAGCAGCCGCGGUAAUAC